ensembl:snRNA U6 U6 spliceosomal RNA
GUGCUCACUUCAGCAGCACAUAUACUAAAAUUGGAACGAAACAGAGAAGAUUAGCAUGGCCCCUGCACAAGGAUGACAGGAGGAUUCCUGAGGCAUUCCAUAUUUCU